rnacentral:misc_RNA from 1 species
UCCGAGUUGUCCCCGGCAGUCUCCCAUGAGUCCCCGGCAUUAUCCGCUGGCAACAUGGAACGAGGGUUGCGCUCGUUGCGGGACUUAACCCAACAUCUCACGACACGAGCUGACGACAGCCAUGCACCACCUGUACACGAGUAUCAAAGAGACCCCUAUCUCUAGGGGCUUCCCGUGUAUGUCAAACCCAGGUAAGGUUCUUCGCGUUGCAUCGAAUUAAACAACAUGCUCCGCCGCUUGUGCGGGUCCCCGUCAAUUCCUUUGAGUUUUAGCCUUGCGGCCGUACUCCCCAGGCGGGGUGCUUAAUGCGUUAGCUGCGGCACGGAUCGCGUCGAUAACGACCCACACCUAGCACCCAUCGUUUACAGCGUGGACUAC